GGGGGGACAAAGGGAAUAAUGUUCUGGAGAUGAAGAAACGCUUGCGUGGGCGUGCCUGCAGGCACGCGUGUAGUAGCUGCGGUAUUAGUAUAUAUGCUUAGAUGUUCAGUCACUUCCUUUAAGUACAAUUUGGCGCUGGACAUGUACCUUAUUUUACUAUGUAUCCGUGACAACAGCUAUGUGUCUGCUCCUUUUAUUUUCUUGUCUUUGCUUCAAAAAAAUGGCUCUGAACAUUGCGAGUUUGUACUUUGUAGACAAUAUAUAUAUAUAUAUAUGUGUGUAUGUGCUUGGUUUGC
rnacentral:lncRNA from 7 species